CUUUAAUGCCAACACUGUCUGGAUGUAAAUCGCCGGAGCAGCAGUAAGAAACAGUCUUUUCUUUUGCAGUUGGCCUUUGGAAUACCUGUUCUUCCACAAAUACAUUCCAGCCCAGAGCUGUUGUUCAGACUAGGUGUAUCACCCUUGGGUGAGUCAUGGGCCUCUAUAAAUACAAUCAAAACACUCACAAUGUGCACCAGUCUCUCAACUUCUUGAUCAGUAGUGUUGUGCACAGUGCCUGUCAACCAACCAGAUAAGAUGUCAGAUAACAAAUGCGAAAAGCCAGAGGAGUGUAUGCCCGAAGGAGAGUGUGAGGAUCGUGGAAAGGGUUGUGACAAGGGAAAGGGAAAGGGAAAGGAUGGCGACUCUGAUGGAGUAAGAAACCUUGCAUAUCUGCUGUAACUUUUUGAGUCUCAUUGGCUAUCCAACUUACUAUCCUACUUCCUCUUUGCUCCUUUUUUUUUCUUACAGGAAGGGAAGUGCCAUGGAAAGUCGGGUGAAAGUCGGGGACAUGGAAGGGGAGGAGGCCCGGACUGUGGAGAGCGUGGAGAGAGUGGUGGUCGUGGUGGUCGGGGGGGAAAGAAGAACUAAUGACUUUGUUUUGUCUGAAGUAAAAUAAUAUAUAUAUAUAUAUAUUAAAGAGACUAACCCUAAACAAGGGUAUCUCCAAUUGUAAUCCAUUGCUUCAUUGUAUUCAAUAAAACAAUUUGACCCAAAUCAACUGUCAUGUCUUCAAUUAUUCUUCAUUGGGAUAUUUACCAACUGUGUGACCUGGUCUAACCUGGUCGGAGGCAUGUGCUUAGCGCAUGAAAAACCACACCCAUGUUGAGGGUGUGAAAACAAACAAAUUCAACAGCGUGGACAUUGC